AACGAACGCUGGCGGCAGGCUUAACACAUGCAAGUCGAACGCACCUUUCGGGGUGAGUGGCCGACGGGUGAGUAACGCGUGGGAAUCUACCCUUCUCUACGGGAUAGCUCCGGGAAACUGGAAUUAAUACCGUAUACGUCCUGAGGGAGAAAGAUUUAUCGGGGAAGGAUGAGCCCGCGUUGGAUUAGCUAGUUGGUGGGGUAAAGGCCUACCAAGGCGACGAUCCAUAGCUGGUCUAAGAGGAUGAUCAGCCACAUUGGGACUGAGACACGGCCCAAACUCCUACGGGAGGCAGCAGUGGGGAAUAUUGGACAACGGGCGCAAGCCUGAUCCAGCCAUGCCGCGUGAGUGAUGAAGGCCCUAGGGUUGUAAAGCUCUUUCAGUGGGGACGAUAAUGACGGUACCCACAGAAGAAGCCCCGGCUAACUUCGUG
rnacentral:rRNA from 1 species